GCACACGUGCUGGGAUGCACGGCCCUGGCACCCAUCAUUUAUCUGUCUCCUCCUCGUUGUAAAUUAGCCUUGAAAUGCAAGUGGUUUUUUCUGCUUGCCAUGUGUAGGUGCUGUGGUCGCACCCCAGGUGCUGGUGCAGCCAGAAAUCAGCCCCCAACUGCAAAAAUUCCCUACCUGCCAGACCCAAAGAAAAAUGCUUUAAUACUCUUCCAUGGGAGUUAUAUCUUUUCAGGAACAGAAGGUGGCAGCCGAGCUUGCAGUGAGUGCCUGGCAUAAGUAGCUGUGAUAUUGCUCAGAAGUGUAAAAGCGUUUAAUUUCUCGGUGCAUGGCGUGGAGGCAGCGCAACCACCCCGAGCCCAAGGCAGCAGCCCCGCAGCGAGUGGGUUCUUCACUCAGGCUGGAGAUCUUGGGGCUUGUGGAGCUCUGCUGCAAAUCUGGAGAGUCAAACCAAAUCCCACCACUACCCCGUGUAUAAAACGACAUUAUAUGACACUGCACAAAACAUAUGAAACAUUUCUCCAGUUAUUCAUACAUACCCUAGUCCAAAGGAAAUUAUUAAGUUUUUCACAAAAAGGACGAGCAGCUGAAAAGCAUCUCUGCAUUGGUAUGUUGAGCAGUGGAGUCACACAGGCACCUGCAGCCAUCCACGCACCACUCGGGAAGAGUGCUGUAUUUCUUGAGGUUUGUAGCUCUUGUCCUCCCACUCUCUAAUUCAUAUACAUAAAACUGGUGUGCUGCCACAUUCUCUCCACACAAAUGCAUUAGCUGAUCAGAAAGGCUUCCCAUUCAUCUGGCUUGUCACUCGGGUGAGGUGGAGGCAGGACUGACUUGUCAACUUGCAGUGAUGAGAGUCGGGGUGGAGGGCAGGAUAAAGCAAUAAAAAAUGGUGUGUAUAUUUCUCCCCUUGGUUUUCCAAAGGAAGUUUCAGGUGCUGGAAUCUCCCAUCCACUUUCAAUCAGGAGAAAACCAGCAACCCAAUACUUGCCCACAGCCUCCUUGCAUAACUGAUGGUGGAGUGAGGUGGCAGGAGGCAAUCAUGGCCAAACCACCAGGUUUGCUGUGCUGUAGCUUCCUGGCCGUGCUGACGCUCUCCUCGGGAUUGCAACCCUUUGUCCCCACUGUACUUGGCACCAUUCUUAUGGUGAUUUCUAGGACAGCAGAAGGAAGGUGUUUGUGACCCACCUGAGAGAUCACAGUGACAGUGCAGAGCUUCGCACCCAUCAGGUGUACAACACCUUCCCCAUCUCCACACAAAUUCUGGCCGGGCUCUGCUCAAACCUUCAUCCCCCGUGAAGUUCCCACUUCAAACCUGGCAUCACGCUCCUGCCGCCGGCAGAGCCGACUGAGAGCAAACAAAGCAAUGCUCGAAUCCUGCCGGGGGCUGCGGGUCAGGGGCUGCGGGUCACCGACCGGGCUCUACCCGGCGGGGUGGCAGCA